rnacentral:rRNA from 1 species
AGAGUUUGAUCCUGGUUCAGGACUAACGCUGGCGGCGUGCCUAACACAUGCAAGUCGAACGAGUUGUUUAUAGUAGCAAUAUUGUGAACAGCGAGUGGCGAACGGGUGAGUAACACGUAGAUAAUCUGCCUUUCAGACGGGGACAACUCAGGGAAACUUGUGCUAAUACCCGAUGAGACUACGGGAGGGGACUUCUGUAGCCAAAGGUGGGGGCAACCUCACGCCGAAAGAUGAGUCUGCGUCCUAUCAGCUGGUUGGUGGGGUAAAAGCCUACCAAGGCGAAGACGGGUAGCCGGCCUGAGAGGGUGAACGGCCACACUGGGACUGAGACACGGCCCAGACUCCUACGGGAGGCAGCAGUGAGGAAUUUUCCGCAAUGGGCGCAAGCCUGACGGAGCGACGCCGCGUGAGGGAUGACGGCCUUCGGGUUGUAAACCUCUUUUAUUAGGGAAAAAGGCAAUCGUGCUAACACCACGGCUGUUUGAUGGUACCUGUUGAAUAAGCCCCGGCUAACUACGUGCCAGCAGCCGCGGUAAUAC